AAGAAAAAAAAUUCCAUCAGUGGGUAUCAGACUUAGUCACUGUCAAAGUCACACUGGCUACUGUCUUAUUAUUUGUAUUCUUUGUUACAGAAAUUGUAAUUUGAUGAACUUUAAUUAUGGUGUCUUGAUAUUUCCAGUGCUUCCCACUCUGGGUAAGUCAUGAAAAUAAUGGUAACAUUUGUGUUGUUAUUCGUUAUUUGUAUUCUUUGUUACAGAAAUUGUAAUUUGAUGAACUUUAAUUAUGGUGUCUUGAUAUUUCCAGUGUUUCCCACUCUGGGUAGAUACCCAGGAGUGGGAUUGCUGGAUUAAAUGGGAUGGAAGCUGGUGAGCUGUUAAUUCCUAUAGCAUCUAUUUUAUUAACAACCCAAAAAUAUAAUAGCUCUGUUCUCAAAAAGGGUGUUUGAUAUUCCGAAUAUUCAGUGUAAUCCUCUGAGGCAUGGAGAAGUUCCUAAAACCUGAUUAAACAAGGUAAUAUGUUAUAUGAAAGUUUUCUACAUGUAAUUUGUUAUAUUUUUAUUAAAUACAAUCUAAUUUCUGGUAAAUUGGAACCCAUGUAGUAAAGAGCCUAUUUAAUAGCCAAUACAUUUAUUUUUAUGAUAAUGAUGACAUAUUCUGGGAAGAGGAAGCAGGUGUUGAAAAUGUUUACCAUCAUUCUUGAUGCAUCCAUCUUUGGCAAUUAUGGACUCCAGAUUGAACAAUAUCUCUUUUUCAUUCUUCUCAACCAUCAAAAUAGUUUAAUAAUAUGUGGAAGACCUAGUAUUCAUUUGUAGUACUCAUGGUUUUGGAAAUUGCAAGACAAAAAUUUUGUUUUAUAAAUUUUGGUCCUGAUAGAGUUGUGUAAGGAAGUUACUAAAAUAGAAUUGAAAUAACAAAUGACAUUUGAAGCCCCUUCUUAUUCAGAGAGCCUAUGAUUAUAACUGAAUGGAGCCAAAGGUUAUCUUCAUUAGAUUCUAGAUAUACUUUCUUGUAAUUAUUAGCAUUUAAUUUAUGCAUAUAUUUUACUGAAAAACCCUGUGUAAAACAUGUUAGGUGACAUCAGUUAGAUGUUCAUUCCUUGGGUUUUCAUUGGACCUCCGUAGAUGCUUCAGUUCAGCAUUCAACCUUCAUGCCCUAGCCUACACCUCCUAUAACUACCCUAAUGUUCAUCGCACUCUGCAAGGGAUUGAUUAUAUUCUUCCCAAUUCUCUCUUUUCUCCCACACUUCCCCGGAAGUCUUCCCUGUCUUGAAAAAAGAAAAAAAAAAUAUAUAUAUAUAUAUUAAAAUAUAUAUUCAUUUCCAUUUGAAAUAGUCCUUCACUUAAAAAGAAACCCAAAGAACCAAUGUGCCAAUAAAUAAAAUAUAAUCAAGGCAUUCUUACUAAAAUUGCAUUAUUACAUUUUCUUUGUUCGUGAGUUUAUAUUGCCUAUUCUUAUUUGUAGCAGGUUGCAAAUUCUUUUCUUCAAUAUUAUAACUCAUUUCAGUCUUUUGUUAUCUUUGCAUUUAUGGUUACUGUAUUAGCUUUUGCUAAGUCAUAUUGUGAACAUGUAUAACCACUGAAAUCACAGUGGCCGGUAAUAACCAGCCUUUAUUUCUCUCUCAUGUACGUGUUGGCUGAAGACCAGCUUUGACUCUGUUCCAUGUGUUCUGCAUUUUGGGAUAAGGCUGAAGGAAAAGCUCCUAUUUUGGUCUUAUGGCAGGGGGGAAAGGGCAAUGUAAAGGCAAGUUUUAGCCAACUUGAUGUACUAUAAAAUGUCAUCUUUUUUACUUAGGGUUGCAUAUCUUCGAUUUAAUAUGUGGUCAACUAUUUCCCAUCUGUUCUGUUUUCUUUUUUUCUGUAGUAAAUUGUUUUUUUCUUGUUCUUUGCCAUAUUAUCUAAAGA